CAGCAGUAGCCACGGGAAUACAGAGGGUGCGAGCGUUAAUCGGAUUUACUGGGCGUAAAGCGUGCGUAGGCGGCUAAUUGAGUCGGAUGUGAAAUCCCCGAGCUUAACUUGGGAAUUGCAUUCGAUACUGGUAAGCUAGAGUAUGGGAGAGGAUGGUAGAAUUCCAGGUGUAGCGGUGAAAUGCGUAGAGAUCUGGAGGAAUACCGAUGGCGAAGGCAGCCAUCUGGCCUAACACUGACGCUGAGGUACGAAAGCAUGGGGAGCAAACAGGAUUAGAUACCCCCGUAGUCCCUGUCUCUUAUAC
rnacentral:rRNA from 1 species